AACGUAGGAGACAAACGUUAUCCGGAGUUACUGGGCGUAAAGGGCGUGUAGGUGGUAGUGUAAGUCUGGCGUGAAAUUUUUCGGCUUAACCGGGAAAGGUCGUCGGAUACUGCACAGCUAGAGGACGGUAGAGGCGUGUGGAAUUCCGGGUGUAGUGGUGAAAUGCGUAGAGAUCCGGAGGAACACCAGUGGCGAAGGCGACACGCUGGGCCGUACCUGACACUGAUGCGCGAAAGCCAGGGGAUCAAACGGG
rnacentral:rRNA from 1 species